ACAUUGCUUUCUACAGUCAAAACCUUUUCCAGAAGGACAUUUUCAGUGCAAUUGGAUGGAUCCCACCAGCACAAACCAUGAACGCGUUGGAAGAAGUUUACAAGAUUGCAAGGGCACAAACUCUUAUUGCUCUUUGUAGUACUGUUCCUGGUUACUGGUUCACAGUUGCAUUCAUUGAUAGGAUUGGUCGAUUCGCAAUUCAGUUGAUGGGAUUCUUCUUCAUGACAGUCUUCAUGUUUGCCUUAGCCCUUCCAUACCAUCACUGGACUCUCAAGGAUAACAGAAUCGGCUUCGUGGUCAUGUACUCACUCACCUUUUUCUUCGCCAACUUUGGUCCAAACGCCACAACAUUCGUCGUCCCUGCUGAGAUUUUCCCAGCCAGGCUUAGGUCCACAUGCCAUGGAAUAUCAGCAGCAGCAGGAAAAGCAGGAGCUAUGGUUGGUGCAUUCGGAUUCUUGUACGCUGCUCAGCCCACAGAUCCAAAAAAGACUGAUGCUGGUUACCCUGCUGGCAUUGGUGUGAGGAACUCGUUGAUCGUCCUUGGUUGCGUUAACUUCCUUGGUAUGUUGUUCACAUUCUUGGUUCCAGAAUCGAAAGGGAAGUCAUUGGAAGAAAUGUCGAGGGAAAACGAAGGGGAAGAGGAAACUGUAGCUGAAAUGAGAGCAACAAGUGGAAGGACAGUUCCUGUUUAAGUUUUAGACAAGUUAUCAAUUAGUAUAUACUAUGAUGCAGUUUGAGUUAAUUUGUGGUAUUUGGGAUUAGAAAGAGAUGUUUGUUUUGUUUGUUAUAAGAUGGAAUAAGCUCUUACCUUUUUUUUAUAUGUUUGUUUCUGAUGGUAAUUAAACAUUAUUACCUUAGUUCUGCAAAUCUCAGAAAUUCUGAGAUUAUAUAAAGUAACCAAAGGAGGUUCUUUGGUUGUCCAUCUCUUUCUAUAAAACAUUUCUUGACUCUUAUCUUUUUAUGUUCUUUCUUCAUGUGUAACAUAACUUGGUAAAGCUUAAUCAGAGAUCUCGAGUGUGAGUUACUAGGAUAUAGUGUAUGUCAUCUUUGUUAGGGUGUGCAUUACCCCUCUAUUGUGAGAUUUUUAGGUGUGAAUUCAAAUUUAGUCAGGCGAGUGUGAGUUACUGGGAUAUAGUGCAUGUCAUCUUUGUUAGGAAAUGCAUUACCCAUCUAAUGUGAGAUUUUUAAGCGUGAAUUCAGAUUUAGUCAGACUUCAAUGUACUAUUAAAAAUUGGUAAGCUUUCUUCCUUAAAAGAGAAAUCAUGUUAAGCAUAUCAAUAGCUAUAAUAUGAACCCAACAUUAAUGAUGGUGAUAGAAGUGAUUAUUAAUAACUUGCUAGUGAGAUAAAAAGAUUGUUCGAGAUCAUAUAAGAAAGAUAAAAUAAUUCACUUACAACGGUUGUGGGACUAUGACACCCUUUGCAUGCUCAGGACCGGACAUAAACGGAACUUAGAACAUAACAUAAUAGCUUUUGCUCAAAUUAUAUGUUUGAAAAUAAAGUAUUCGCUAAAUAUUCAUAAAUAUUGAAUGCAAUGCAAGUUUUCAUUGUAUGUUUGGAGCCGCAACGUCUGAUAAAAAAAUGAAUAUUGAUUGGUGUAAUCAAACUCCAAAAAGUUAAAUCAUGAGCCGAUAAAGAUCGUACAAAAUCAUAUAAGAAUAUAUACCACAUAAUCCAAUCACAAAGAUGUUGGACUCUGAUUCGUCCAUAUGUUUGACAAAUUAUAUUAUAAUGAUCAAAUUUUAAUAUUGGGAGAACAGCUUGCGUUACGUUGUAUCUACAAGAAAAAAACAGUAUUUUUCCUUAAUCUCUACGUUAAACCAAAUUUAAUUAAGAACAUAAUGUACUAGAAAUAUAAUUAAUUUAUUUCUCCUCGUAGUUUCAUUGAAUAUUCUUUCCUAGGGGCAGAGCCAGGGUUCAUCCCAAAACACGAUUGUCGGAAAGUUAUAUUGUAUAUAUAAUUAAGGUCAAAGUUAUUUUGUAUGUAUAUAAAAUAGAUCAGUAGAUGCUGAAUCUCUUUAGUUUCUUCGUGUAUGUAUAUUUUUAUAUUUUAAACCUACUUAAUAAAUGUAUAUGUUCUUUAAUUUUAAUUUUUAUCAGUUGAGAAAAUGGUCUAAUUUGGGUACGUGGUAAUCAACGUUUUCAUGGUAGAAUUAAUUCCGUUAACAGCAAGGACAAAUACGAGACAAUUUACAAAUAACAAGGAUAUUAAAAAUGUAAUGAAAAAUAAAAUUAUGCAAUUUCAGAUAAUAUAGACAUUUGAAUUUUUUUUCCUCAUUAUUAUAUCAAUGUUCAAAUUCAUUACUAAUUUGUUCCUUAGGCAUAUAUAGUAAGUAAUUAUUAAUUUCCACAUUAGAAAUUUCCAUGUAUUUUCCUCCUCGUACUUCUUUCAUUGAAUAUUCUUCUUGUGUAUUCUUAAGGAACUUAAUCUUAACUUCAACGAACUCAAAUGGCGAAACGUUGCUCUAUCUUUAAUCAGAAAUUUCAUAUUUGAGCCUUAUAUAUGAAAAAAAAAAUCAUAUUGGGAGCACCAUUCCCAAAUGAAUCAUGCUAUAUGCAAUCCAAAUUUGAUCGGAGCUCCAAUAUGAACACUAGACAUCAGAUGAAAAAAAAAAAAAACUAAAUAACGCACCUAGGUAAUAUUCUUGUUAGUAAUAUCAGCCAAAACCUUUUUGCCGUUAAAUACCAAGAAAUUUCUCAUUAUCUUCUUCUUAUUUAUUUUAUUUAUUAUUAAAAAAAAAAGUUAACCAUAUAUUCUUUUACACAUUAUAAGAUGUUAAUUACUAUCUUGAAAAUUAGGUAAAUAUCUCUACUAUAGUCAAUAAUCUAUGUCACUCUAAUUGAUUGAUUGAGACUAUAUUUUUUUCUUUCUAGUAUGUCUAUUUCAUAUAGAACGCGUAUUAUCGUUAAGAACAAAAAUGUCAAUUGAAGGGCCACAAGUGUUACACUUAUACUACAUCUCCGUUAUUUGUACGCUAUCGAUCUUUCAAAAAUAAUUAAGCUUAGCAAUGAAUUUAAUUUCUUGCAUAAAAACAAUCAUAAUUCAAAUAUGUCACGUUUUACUGAAAAGGAUUUGAUUGAUUCAAAAACUUCAACAUACUAGAAUUGGAUUAAUCUUAUUAUAAAGAGAACCUUCUUCUAUUUUUUUUAACUUAGAAUAUUUUUUUAACUUAGAUUAAAGAGUGAGAAAGUCCAAAACUAUUGUUAAACUCAAUUAGUUAUAAGGUUAAACACUAUUUUUGUAUGAUUCAAUAAUUUUUAUGCGUCUGCAAUGAAGAUUUGUCUAUAAUUUUAUCAUUAUUGCUACAAAAAAAAUUGACGAAUGGGCAUGUUUACACAUAUUAUUAAUUUAUUCUGAAUAUUCUUUGAUUUGGAUUUUGAAAGAUGUGAUUUUCUGUUGGUAUUAUAUGGACUUCUUGUAUAACCUAUAGUCGUGUAAAAUUAAGAAAAAGUUUCAUAAAUAGCAAUAGUUUAGAGUGUAAUACAAAAUGUAGCUGCAAUUAUUGUAUGGGCGGAAGAGUUGUAUCAAUGAAAGAGUUACAUAUAUCAGUUGUAUCAAACAUGUAUCAGUUAUAUUAACACAUAAUUUAUCAGUUGAAAACGCAUGAAAGAAUUAUAUCUGCACAUUAUAUAUUUAUAGAUAUUUAGCGAAUUUCUUUAUACAUACACAUGGGGUCUUGAAAAAAAGCUAUUAGAUUCAUGUGAAUUUGUAAUUGAGUAAAAAACAAUUAGUUGGUAAUCAAAAGGGCAUUAUACAUAAAUAUGUUCUUUAACUUGAUCUCAAUUGACAUUUAUGCUCUCUAACUUUAGGCGCGCACAAGUAGACCCUUAAACUCGUAUAUAUUGAACAAGUAGACAAACACAUCCUACAUGACAUAAUACAAAUCAGUUUGAGUGUAUCUCACGCAAAUCAUGUAAGACAUAUAUGUCUACUUGUUCAAUUUUAUAUGAGUUUAGUACAUACUUAUGCAUUCUCAAAAUUAGAGGAUAUAAAUAUCAAAUAAAGUCAAAUUAAAAAACAUGUUUAUGUUUAUGUGUUAUGCCAAAUAUUACAUUUGGACAUGCAUUAGUAAUUUGUGACAGUAGGAACAGGCUGUUUCUAAAGAUGUUUAUAAGCUUAAACAAUGAAAAAAAAAAAAAAAAACUUAGAAAACUUAGUUGCAUUCUAUUGGAAUUAUCUAACAACUAUCCUUCUUGUUCUAAUAUAUGCAAAGUCGGCCGAAUAUACCCCUUUCUAUGACACCAUAAACCUUUCAUACUAUAUAUUUUUUUAAUAAUAUUAAAGAUUUCCCAAGAUUGAACUUGUUGUAAUCUUGUCCUCGAGUCUAUCAGAAGCAACAUCUCUAGUCUCUACCCCACAAAGGUAGAGGUAAAGCCUGCAUACGUUUUAUCCUCCCUAGACCCUCUUAUAGCAUUAUACUGAAUAUGUUGUUGUUGUAAUAAUCUUGUCCUCGACUUGUUAUAUCAAUCAUUCUUUCCCUUUUAAUAUUUUCCAUAAACGUUAUUAAACUUCACACGCGGUCAAACAAUGUAACAUAAAUUAGGAUGGAUGGAGGAUAUAUAUAUAUAUGUUGAUAAUAUUAAGGAUUUCUAAAAAUUGAACUUGUUGUAAUCUUGUCCUUGUCUUAUUCUUUCAAAUCAAUUAUAUUAAUAGCCCCUUCUCUACAUUAUUUAUCUUAGCAUAAAAACUAUAGUAGUUUGAGAAAUAUUACUAGUAAAACUAUAGUUAGCUAUGGCUAAAGAUCAAUUACAAGUACUAAAUGCUCUUGAUGUUGCUAAAACACAAUUGUACCAUUUUACAGCAAUUGUGAUAGCAGGAAUGGGAUUUUUCACUGAUGCAUAUGACCUUUUCUGCAUUUCACUUGUGACUAAAUUGCUUGGUCGAAUUUACUAUCAUCAUCAAGGUGCACCUAAGCCAGGAAUUCUCCCUCCUGGUAUCUCAGCUGCAGUCAAUGGAGUCGCGUUUGUUGGGACACUCUCGGGCCAGCUGUUUUUCGGAUGGCUAGGUGAUAAGAUGGGAAGGAAAAGAGUUUAUGGAAUGACUCUCAUGAUCAUGGUUAUUUGCUCGAUUGCAUCGGGUCUUUCAUUUGGUAAGACCCCUAGUGGUGUGAUUGCUACAUUAUGUUUUUUUCGAUUUUGGCUUGGUUUUGGUAUUGGUGGUGAUUACCCUUUAUCAGCAACAAUCAUGUCUGAAUACGCUAAUAAGAAGACUCGUGGAGCUUUUAUAGCUGCAGUAUUCGCGAUGCAAGGAUUUGGGAUUUUGGCAGGAGGGAUUGUUGCACUUGUUGUUAGUGGUGCAUUUAAAAACGCGUACCCUGCUCCAAUUUAUUCUGUCAAUAAUGAAGGCUCAACCCCUCAAGAGGCUGAUAUUGUAUGGAGAAUAAUACUCAUGUUUGGUGCUAUACCGGCUUUGCUUACUUAUUAUUGGCGUAUGAAGAUGCCUGAGACAGCGCGUUACACAGCUUUAGUAGCUAAGAAUGCUACUAAGGCUGCUUCCGAUAUGUCUAAAGUGUUGAAUGUUGAAAUUGAAGCAGAGGAUGAUAAGAUUGAGAAGAUUGUUGCAAUACAGGGGAAUAAUUUCGGGUUGUUUAGUAAGGAAUUUCUUCAUCGUCAUGGGCUGCAUUUGCUUGGAACAACUAGUACAUGGUUUUUACUAGAUAUCGCUUUUUAUAGUCAGAAUCUAUUUCAGAAGGAUAUAUUUAGUAAAAUUGGAUGGAUACCUCAUCCAGAGACAAUGAACGCGUUGGAUGAGGUAUUCAAAAUUGCAAAGGCACAAACUCUUAUUGCUCUAUGUAGUACUGUACCUGGUUACUGGUUUACUGUUGCAUUCAUCGAUAGAAUGGGUCGAUUUGCAAUUCAAUUGAUGGGGUUUUUCUUCAUGACAGUGUUUAUGUUCGCGUUAGCCAUACCAUAUAAUCAUUGGACUAAAAAGGAA
rnacentral:lncRNA from 1 species